rnacentral:rRNA from 1 species
UGCCAGCCGCCGCGGUAAUACGGAGGGUGCAAGCGUUGUUCGGAAUUACUGGGCGUAAAGCGCGCGUAGGCGGCUAUUCAAGUCAGAUGUGAAAGCCCGCGGCUCAACCGUGGAAGUGCAUUUGAAACUGUGUAGCUUGAGUACUGGAGGGGGUAGUGGAAUUCCCGGUGUAGAGGUGAAAUUCGUAGAUAUCGGGAGGAAUACCGGUGGCGAAGGCGACUUGCUGGCCAAAUACUGACGCUGAGGUACGAAAGCGUGGGUAGCAAACAGGAUUAGAUA